GACGAACCGUGCGAACGUUAUUCGGAAUCACUGGGCUUAAAGCGCGUGUAGGCGGGACGGCACGUCGGUCGCUGAAAGCCCCCGGCUCAACCGGGGAACGGGCGCCGAUACGACCGGCCUGGAGGGACGUAGGGGGACCUGGAACUUCCGGUGGAGCGGUGAAAUGCGUUGAGAUCGGAAGGAACGCCCGUGGCGAAAGCGAGGUCCUGGACGUCUGCUGACGCUGAGACGCGAAAGCCAGGGGAGCGAACGGG
rnacentral:rRNA from 1 species